GGUCCUUCAGUUCUGUGCCAUUUUCCUUAUCCAGGGGCCAUGAAGAGUUUGCUUUGCUGAUAGAUGGAAACUUUUACUCAAGGUCCAACCAUAAGUCCGGCAGGGAGGAAAGGUGUAACUCCUGGGAGGAAGCACUGAAGGGAAAAAAAGCUAUGUUAUCAGUUUAACCCCUUGGUCACCAAAGAAUCUCUUCUUUCGAAGCGCUCAUGAGAAUUCUGGCACAGCGUGCUGGGAAGUUACAGAUUUAGGGGAGCGGUCUGGAAGAGAGCCGUCGCUGGGAAGACACCUGGGGGUAGAGACGGCCUUCGCAGAGAGACAUUGAGAUCUUAAAUGUACCCUGGUACUGACUGGUGACCCAGCCCAUGCAGACUGGGACCCCAGAGCUGGGGAGCCUACUGACC
rnacentral:lncRNA from 1 species